UUUUAUGGAGAGUUUGAUCCUGGCUCAGGAUGAACGCUGGCGGCGUGCCUAAUACAUGCAAGUCGAGCGAACGGACGAGAAGCUUGCUUCUCUGAUGUUAGCGGCGGACGGGUGAGUAACACGUGGAUAACCUACCUAUAAGACUGGGAUAACUUCGGGAAACCGGAGCUAAUACCGGAUAAUAUUUUGAACCGCAUGGUUCAAAAGUGAAAGACGGUCUUGCUGUCACUUAUAGAUGGAUCCGCGCUGCAUUAGCUAGUUGGUAAGGUAACGGCUUACCAAGGCAACGAUGCAUAGCCGACCUGAGAGGGUGAUCGGCCACACUGGAACUGAGACACGGUCCAGACUCCUACGGGAGGCAGCAGUAGGGAAUCUUCCGCAAUGGGCGAAAGCCUGACGGAGCAACGCCGCGUGAGUGAUGAAGGUCUUCGGAUCGUAAAACUCUGUUAUUAGGGAAGAACAUAUGUGUAAGUAACUGUGCACAUCUUGACGGUACCUAAUCAGAAAGCCAUGGCUAACUACGUGCCAGCAGCCGCGGUAAUACGUAGGUGGCAAGCGUUAUCCGGAAUUAUUGGGCGUAAAGCGCGCGUAGGCGGUUUUUUAAGUCUGAUGUGAAAGCCCACGGCUCAACCGUGGAGGGUCAUUGGAAACUGGAAAACUUGAGUGCAGAAGAGGAAAGUGGAAUUCCAUGUGUAGCGGUGAAAUGCGCAGAGAUAUGGAGGAACACCAGUGGCGAAGGCGACUUUCUGGUCUGUAACUGACGCUGAUGUGCGAAAGCGUGGGGAUCAAACAGGAUUAGAUACCCUGGUAGUCCACGCCGUAAACGAUGAGUGCUAAGUGUUAGGGGGUUUCCGCCCCUUAGUGCUGCAGCUAACGCAUUAAGCACUCCGCCUGGGGAGUACGACCGCAAGGUUGAAACUCAAAGGAAUUGACGGGGACCCGCACAAGCGGUGGAGCAUGUGGUUUAAUUCGAAGCAACGCGAAGAACCUUACCAAAUCUUGACAUCCUUUGACAACUCUAGAGAUAGAGCCUUCCCCUUCGGGGGACAAAGUGACAGGUGGUGCAUGGUUGUCGUCAGCUCGUGUCGUGAGAUGUUGGGUUAAGUCCCGCAACGAGCGCAACCCUUAAGCUUAGUUGCCAUCAUUAAGUUGGGCACUCUAAG
rnacentral:rRNA from 1 species